UACGGGGGGGGCAAGCGUUGUUCGGAAUUGCUGGGCGUAAAGGGCUCGUAGGCGGCCAACUAAGUCAGACGUGAAAUCCCUCGGCUUAACCGGGGAACUGCGUCUGAUACUGGAUGGCUUGAGUUUGGGAGAGGGAUGCGGAAUUCCAGGUGUAGCGGUGAAAUGCGUAGAUAUCUGGAGGAACACCGGUGGCGAAGGCGGCGUUCUGGACUGCAACUGACACUGAGGAACGAAAGCCAGGGGAGCAAACGGG
rnacentral:rRNA from 1 species